CCUACGGGUGGCAGCAGUGGGGAAUCUUGGGCAAUGGGCGCAAGCCUGACCCAGCAACGCCGCGUGAAGGAAGAAGGCUUUCGGGUUGUAAACUUCUUUUGUCAGGGACGAAGAAAGUGACGGUACCUGACGAGUAAGCCACGGCUAACUACGUGCCAGCAGCCGCGGGAAUACGUAGGUGGCAAGCGUUAUCCGGAUUUACGGGGUGUAAAGGGCGUGUGGGCGGGACUGCAAGUCAGAUGUGAAAACCACGGGCUCAACCUGUGUACUGCAUUUGAACCUGUAGUGCUUGAGUACUGGAGAGGCAGGCGGAAUUCCUGGUGUAGCGGUGAAAUGCGUAGAUAUUAGGAGGAACACCAGUGGCGAAGGCGGUAUGCUGGACAGCAACUGACGCUGAGGCGCGAAAGCGUGGGGAGCAAACAGGAUUAGAUACCCCAGUAGUC
rnacentral:rRNA from 1 species